AUUGAACGCUGGCGGCAUGCCUUACACAUGCAAGUCGAACGGUAACGGGCCUUCGGGUGCCGACGAGUGGCGAACGGGUGAGUAAUGCAUCGGAACGUACCUUUCAGUGGGGGAUAACGUAGCGAAAGUUACGCUAAUACCGCAUAUUCUGUGAGCAGGAAAGCAGGGGAUCGCAAGACCUUGCGCUGAUUGAGCGGCCGAUGUCAGAUUAGCUAGUUGGUGAGGUAAAGGCUCACCAAGGCGACGAUCUGUAGCGGGUCUGAGAGGAUGAUCCGCCACACUGGAACUGAGACACGGUCCAGACUCCUACGGGAGGCAGCAGUGGGGAAUUUUGGACAAAUGGGGGCAACCCUGAUCAGCCAUGCCGCGUGAGUGAAGAAGGCCUCGGUU
rnacentral:rRNA from 1 species